rnacentral:rRNA from 1 species
AUUGAACGCUGGCGGCAUGCCUUACACAUGCAAGUCGAACGGUAACAGGUCUUCGGAUGCUGACGAGUGGCGAACGGGUGAGUAAUACAUCGGAACGUGCCUAGUAGUGGGGGAUAACUACUCGAAAGAGUGGCUAAUACCGCAUGAGAUCUACGGAUGAAAGCAGGGGAUCGCAAGACCUUGUGCUACUAGAGCGGCCGAUGGCAGAUUAGGUAGUUGGUGGGAUAAAAGCUUACCAAGCCGACGAUCUGUAGCUGGUCUGAGAGAACGAUCAGCCACACUGGGACUGAGACACGGCCCAGACUCCAACGGGAGGCAGCAGUGGUGAAUUUUGAACAAUGGGCGAAAGCCUGGUCCAGCAAUGCCGCGUGCAGGAUGAAGGCCUUCGGGUUGUAAACUGCUUUUGUACGGAACGAAAAGCCCCGGGUUAAUACCCUGGGGUCAUGACGGUACCGUAAGAAUAAGCACCGGCUAACUACGUGCCAGCAGCCGCCGUAA